GUACACGCUGUGACUAGCAUAUCAAUAAGCGGAGGAAAAGAAACUAACAAGGAUUCCCCUAGUAACGGCGAGUGAAGCGGGAAGAGCUCAAAUUUGAAAUCUUAAAGGGUUUCCCUUUACGAAUUGUAGUUUAAAGAAGUGGUUUCUGUUGAGGUUUUGGUAAAAGUUCUUUGGAAUAGGACGUCAUAGAGGGUGAGAAUCCCGUAUUUGACCUUUACUUUCAACUUUGUGAUACACUUUCAAAGAGUCGGAUUGUUUGGGAAUGCAGUCCAAAAUGGGUGGUAAAUUUCAUCUAAAGCUAAAUAUUGGCGAGAGACCGAUAGCGAACAAGUACCGUGAGGGAAAGAUGAAAAGAACUUUGAAAAGAGAGUUAAACAGUACGUGAAAUUGUCAAAAGGGAAGCGUUUGACACCAGUGUUGUUUUUCUGAAAAUCAAUUAAAGAACUGUUUAUGCUAAGCUGUUUAGACUUUAUCAGCUAUCUGUUUAGUUUUGAGCUUUUCUUUAAUGCACUUUUCAGUUAACAAGUCAACAUCAAUUUCUUUUGCUGUAAAAAAGCUUGAGGAAGGUGGCUUGAGAUUCGUCUUAAGUGUUUAUAGCCUCUUGCCUAUGCAGUCGGAGAGAUUGAGGUCUGCAGCGUAGAUCCUUCGGGGCUAAAUGCAUUUGUGCUAAGUUAUAGCAUUUUAUAGACAACUUGUUGACUAUGAUUUGUCUUGUAGCUUACUCGCUUAUGUUAUUUUACCUACGCUUAGGAUGUUGAGUCGUAGAGCACGCAG
rnacentral:rRNA from 1 species